rnacentral:rRNA from 1 species
ACGGGUGAGGAACACGUACACAACUUCCCUCUUACCGGGGCACAACUCAGAGAAAUCUGGGCUAAUUCCCCGUAAUAAUUCAAUAAGGCAUCUUUUUGAAUUUAAAACUCCGGUGGUAAGAGAUGGGUGUGCGUCUGAUUAGCUAGUUGGUGGGGUAAUGGCUCACCAAGGCAACGAUCAGUAACUGGUGUGAGAGCACGACCAGUCACACGGGCACUGAGAUACGGGCCCG